rnacentral:rRNA from 1 species
UAGGGAAUCUUCGCAAUGGGGGCAACCCUGACCGAGCAACGCCGCGUGAGUGAAGAAGGUUUUCGGAUCGUAAAGCUCUGUUGUAAGAGAAGAACGUGUGUGAGAGUGGAAAGUUCACACAGUGACGGUAACUUACCAGAAAGGGACGGCUAACUACGUGCCAG